UCCAUAGCUCAGUUGGUAGAGCAUGAGACUCUUAAUUUCAGGGUCGUGAGUUUGAGCCCCGGACUGGGCAAAA